GAUGAACGCUAGCGGCAGGCUUAAUACAUGCAAGUCGAGGGGCAGCAGUUUUGUAGCAAUACAGAAGCUGGCGACCGGCAAACGGGUGCGGAACACGUACGCAACCUUCCUUUAACUGGAAGAUAGCCCACCGAAAGGUGGAUUAAUACUCCAUAACAUAUUGAAGAGGCAUCUCUUUGAUAUUAAAGCUCCGGCGGUUAAAGAUGGGCGUGCGUCUGAUUAGGUAGUUGGCGGGGUAACGGCCUACCAAGCCUUCGAUCAGUAGCUGAUGUGAGAGCAUGAUCAGCCACACGGGCACUGAGACACGGGCCCGACUCCUACGGGAGGCAGCAGUAAGGAAUAUUGGUCAAUGGACGCAAGUCUGAACCAGCCAUGCCGCGUGGAGGAUGAAGGCCCUCUGGGUUGUAAACUUCUUUUCUUUGGGACGAAACCCCUGUUUCUACGGGGACUGACGGUACCAGAGGAAUAAGCACCGGCUAACUCCGUGCCAGCCGCCGCGGUAAAAC
rnacentral:rRNA from 1 species